GCCUGGCUGGCUCAGUAUUCAGAGCGUGUGAUUCUUGAUCUAAGGGUUGUGAGUUCAAGCCCCACGUUGGGUG
rnacentral:tRNA from 1 species